rnacentral:rRNA from 1 species
AACGUAGGACGCAAGCGUUAUCCGGAUUUACUGGGCGUAAAGCGCGUGCAGGCGGUCGGUCAAGUCGUGCGUGAAAGCUCCCUGGCUCAACCGGGAGAGGUCGUACGAAACUAGCGGACUCGAGGGCAGCAGAGGAGCGUGGAAUUCCGGGUGUAGUGGUGAAAUGCGUAGAUAUCCGGAGGAACACCAGUGGCGAAGGCGGCGCUCUGGGCUGUACCUGACGCUAAGACGCGAAAGCAUGGGUAGCGAACGGG